rnacentral:rRNA from 1 species
GGACUAUCAUGUCGGUCGUGCCUCGGUACGUACUGGUAUUGUUGGUUUCUCCCUUCUGACGAACCAUGAUGUCAUUAAUUUGGUGUUUUGGGGAAUUUGGACUGUUACUUUGAAAAAAUUAGAGUGUUUAAAGCAGGCUCACGCUUGAAUACAUUAGCAUGGAGUAAUGAAAUAGGACGUUCGAUCCUAUUUUGUUGGUUUUAGGAUCAACGUA